CGCUGGCGGCGUGCCUAAUACAUGCAAGUCGAACGGUCUUUCUAUGGAAGCUUGCUUCCACUGAGAAGAUAGUGGCGAACGGGUGAGUAACACGUGGGUAACCUGCCCAUAAGAGGGGGAUAACAUCCGGAAACGGGUGCUAAUACCGCAUAGUUUUCUUGAUCGCAUGAUCGGGAAAGGAAAGACGGCCUUUGUGCUGUCGCUUAUGGAUGGACCCGCGGCGUAUUAGUUAGUUGGUGAGGUAAUGGCUCACCAAGACGAUGAUACGUAGCCGACCUGAGAGGGUGAUCGGCCACAUUGGGACUGAGACACGGCCCAAACUCCUACGGGAGGCAGCAGUAGGGAAUCUUCCGCAAUGGACGAAAGUCUGACGGAGCAACGCCGCGUGAGUGAAGAAGGUUUUCGGAAUCGUAAAACUCUGUUGUCAGAGAAGAACAAGUUGGAGAGUAACUGCUCCAGCCUUGACGGUAUCUGACCAGAAAGCCACGGCUAACUACGUGCCAGCAGCUGC
rnacentral:rRNA from 1 species